UCCUUAUUAAGAGUGGUGGAGGGACUGGCCCUGUGAAACCCGGCAACCGCUGUUCAAACUUGAACAGAAUGGUGCUAAAUCCUUGAACGAGAUUCGUUCGGAGAUGAGGA
rnacentral:ncRNA from 3 species